rnacentral:rRNA from 1 species
AUUGAACGCUGGCGGCAUGCCUUACACAUGCAAGUCGAACGGUAACAGGUUAAGCUGACGAGUGGCGAGCGGGUGAGUCAUGUAUCGGACCGUGCCCAAUCGUGGGGGAUAACUGCUCGUAAGAGCAGCUAAUACCGCAUACGACCUGAGGGUGAAAGCGGGGGCUCGCAAGACCUCGGGCGAUUGGAGCGGCCGAUAACAGAUUAGGUAGUUGGGGAGGUAAAGGCUGACCAAGCCGACGAUCUGUAGCUGGUCUGAGAGGAGGACCAGCCACACGGGGGCUGAGACACGGCCCAGACUCCUACGGGAGGCAGCAGUGGGGAAUGUUGGACAAUGGGCGCAAGCCUGAUCCAGCCAGGCCGCGUGCGGGAAGAAGGCCUUCGGGUUGUAAACCGCGUUUGUCAGGGAAGAAAAGGUUCUGGCUAAUACCUGGGACUCAUGACGGUACCUGAAGAAUAAGCACCGGCUAACUACGUG